rnacentral:rRNA from 1 species
GACGAACGCUGGCGGCGUGCUUAACACAUGCAAGUCGAACGAUGAAGCCUAGCUUGCUAGGUGGAUUAGUGGCGAACGGGUGAGUAAUACGUGAGUAACCUACCUUUAACUCUGGGAUAAGCCUGGGAAACUGGGUCUAAUACCGGAUACGACCAAUCUCCGCAUGGGGUGUUGGUGGAAAGCGUUAUGUAGUGGUUAUAGAUGGGCUCACGGCCUAUCAGCUUGUUGGUGAGGUAACGGCUCACCAAGGCGACGACGGGUAGCCGGCCUGAGAGGGUGACCGGCCACACUGGGACUGAGACACGGCCCAGACUCCUACGGGAGGCAGCAGUGGGGAAUAUUGCACAAUGGGCGCAAGCCUGAUGCAGCGACGCCGCGUGAGGGAUGACGGCCUUCGGGUUGUAAACCUCUGUUAGCAGGGAAGAAGAGAAAUUGACGGUACCUGCAGAGAAAGCGCCAGCUAACUACGUGCCAGCAGCCGCGGUAAUACGUAGGGCGCGAGCGUUGUCCGGAAUUAUUGGGCGUAAAGAGCUUGUAGGCGGUUUGUCGCGUCUGCUGUGAAAGGCCGGGGCUUAACCCCGUGUAUUGCAGUGGGUACGGGCAGACUAGAGUGCAGUAGGGGAGACUGGAAUUCCUGGUGUAGCGGUGGAAUGCGCAGAUAUCAGGAGGAACACCGAUGGCGAAGGCGGGUCUCUGGGCUGUAACUGACGCUGAGAAGCGAAAGCAUGGGGGAGCGAACAGGAUCAGAUACCCUGGUAGUCCAGGGGCUAUUCCACAAUGGAUAUCUAGCUUAUCGAUACCGUCGACUCGACGGGGUUCUUUUUAAAAAAAUUUAUAUACCUAUAAUGAAGCUUUAUUAU